GCCUGGCUGGCUCAGUCAGUAGAACAUGUGACUCUUGAUCUCUGGGUCAUGAGUUUUAGCCUCAUGUUGGGCA
rnacentral:tRNA from 1 species